UACGUAGGGUGCGAGCGUUGUCCGGAAUUACUGGGCGUAAAGAGCUCGUAGGUGGUUUGUCGCGUUGUCCGUGAAAACUCACAGCUCAACUGUGGGCGUGCGGGCGAUACGGGCAGACUGGAGUACUGCAGGGGAGACUGGAAUUCCUGGUGUAGCGGUGGAAUGCGCAGAUAUCAGGAGGAACACCGGUGGCGAAGGCGGGUCUCUAGGCCGUAACUGACGCUGAGGAGCGAAAGCGUGGGGAGCGAACAGG
rnacentral:rRNA from 1 species